GGGUACUUACGCUUACGGUUUAAGGGGGCGGUUUGCUAAACCGUUAGGUCGAGCAACUGGCGCAAUGGUUCAAAUCCAUUACUCUCCG
rnacentral:tRNA from 1 species